rnacentral:lncRNA from 1 species
GCGCCCGGCUGAUUUAAGACCGGUUGUGUCUACGCUGGCGGGAGCGCCCAUCCCGGGCAGGCCUGGGCCUCAGGGCUCUGGCAGCGAGGUGUGCAGGUUAGCGCUCGAUGACCCGGAGCUCGCGGCCACGCCGCGCUCGCCCUUAGGACUUCUUGGCGGCUCAGACGGUAGGACGGCGCCGGAGAGCGCGUUCUGCAUCUUGAUCAUCUCCGGCCUUGGAAGGGUCACCUCUUGUGAAAACAGUCGGCACGAUCAAUCUGCGUCCAGUGCAGCGUGCAGGGACGGCUGGAGGGCUCAAGCACGCCUGCGUCAGAGCUCGGCGCUCCUGCGCGUGUGGCCCCCGCUGCCUGCGCAGGGUGGGGGUGCAGCCAGAGGUCACGUCCUGUGGUCGCAGAAGGCGGGCGGCUCUGCUGAGGACCCCAGGGCGGUUGAAACCCUCGUGGCUGGGUGCCUAACUGGCCCGCAAAACUUUAUUUGUAGGUGUAGUUCAACAACAUUCUGAAUUGGUAAAACCGAACUUAUUGGUAAAACUUAACUAAAUAGCUUUUGUUGACAAGUGGAUUGUUAUUAAUUUUUGAUGUUUCGUGCAAGGCAGGAAUCGUUAUCGCGGCUUUGCAGGUGGAACAGUGUUGGCACCAGAAAAGCGAGCGUUUCACUUAAAACUCACACAGAAAACAUUGGGGUGGCAGAGCCACAAAUUAAUGCCUUAGCAUUGCGCCUCCUCAGCUGAUUCCCCUACACCACGUUA